GCUAGCGGCAGGCUUACACAUGCAAGUCGAGGGGUAUAGGAAGCUUGCUUCCUAGAGACCGGCGCACGGGUGCGUAACGCGUAUGCAAUCUGCCUUUCACAAAGGGAUAGCCCAGAGAAAUUUGGAUUAAUACCUUAUAGUAUUAAGUUUUGGCAUCAAGAUUUAAUUAAAGAUUUAUCGGUGAAAGAUGAGCAUGCGUCCCAUUAGUUAGUUGGUAAGGUAACGGCUUACCAAGACUACGAUGGGUAGGGGUCCUGAGAGGGAGAUCCCCCACACUGGUACUGAGACACGGACCAGACUCCUACGGGAGGCAGCAGUGAGGAAUAUUGGACAAUGGGCGCAAGCCUGAUCCAGCCAUGCCGCGUGCAGGAUGAAGCAUCUAUGGUGUGUAAACUGCUUUUAUACAGGAAGAAACCCUGGCUCGUGAGCCAGAUUGACGGUACUGUAAGAAUAAGGACCGGCUAACUCCGUGCCAGCAGCCGCGGUAAUACGGAGGGUCCAAGCGUUAUCCGGAAUCAUUGGGUUUAAAGGGUCCGUAGGCGGGCUUGUAAGUCAGCGGUGAAAUCUCCCGGCUCGACCGGGAAAUGGCCGUUGAUACUGCUAGUCUUGAAUUAGUAGGAAGUAACUAGAAUAUGUAGUGUAGCGGUGAAAUGCUUAGAGAUUACAUGGAAUACCAAUUGCGAAGGCAGGUUACUACUACUAUAUUGACGCUGAUGGACGGAAGCGUGGGUAGCGAACAGGAUUAGAU
rnacentral:rRNA from 1 species